UCCAAUAGAACAUACAAGUGUACUUACAAGCAAAAACAGAUACACAAGCACGAUACACAAGCACGAUACACAAGCACAUACAAGUGUACUUACAAGCAAAAACAGAUACACAAGCACCAAAACAUGGUGCAACAUCAACUAAAACUGUGGUGCGCAUCUCAAUGCCUCUUCUGGUCUUCCGUCACAGUAGAAGCAGCCUAAACAACAUUAGAUCUUGAUCCUGAUGACCAAAAAGAAACAUUAUUAAAUGUUUAGAGAUAAUGCCAUCAACAUGAGGCGGUAAUCCAACAUAACACUUUGUCAACAUAUUUUACAUAUGCAAAUAAGUAAGCUUACUGUAUAAGUUUAAGAUCCACAUGCAAUGUGAAACUGAAUUGCCAAAUAGCAGCAUGAUACAUUGGUACAAGUGCAGGUCGUCGAUGAACAUCACUGUAUCAGGUUCACCACAAGUUCUAUGAUGCAUCCAAACUUGUGAAAUUCGUGCAUAUAUUCAAGUAUGAUACUAAGUGAGCAGGUAGAAUCACCCAAGCAUGGAGGCAAGUGUCUCACCUGCGGCAACUGACCAGGAGCGAAGUUGAGCAUGGCCGGGGCAGGAGCAGCUGGAGUAGCAUGGCCGGCCUUGAGGUUCGGGGCAUCCACAGCCUGCCUGGCAUUGGGUGCCCAGAGCGAGGGGAGCAUCGGGGCGUGCCUGCAUGAUGAAGGAAAGCAGCAUCAGAAAGUUAAAGACUAAAGGACAUGUGGUAGCAAAAGGAAUAUCAAACUUCUGUCAUAACUUGACUAUGAAGUUAAGGAACCUCUUUAGUCUUUACUUUGCAGAGAAGGGAGCAUGUAGCUAAUGAUAACUAAUAUAUUAGUAGACAAGUGGUAAAUAGAAGAUCCUCUGCACAAUGAAUGGGCAGAUCCAUCCUUGAACUGACUCUAAUGGCUCAGAAAGAUUAAUCUCAAACAACAACCAAAUUCCAGAGUGCCCAGGCCCAAAUUCUACAAGACGUCUUAAGUACAAUAAUAUACAAUACAUCAUAGCAAACUGACUGGACGAGUUUAGUUUGUACAACCCACUAAACAAUUCAGCAAUAAGAGCAUACAACUACAACAAAACAGAGCAUAAUUCAGUUCUAAUAUGCACGACUGAAACUACUCCAAUUUCGGUUUUAAUAUGUAUACAACACGCAUCAUUGACCACGGAGCAUACGGCCACAGCAAAACAAGGGAGCAAUUCAGGGAAAGGAAUACUAUAGUUGCUUGAGACAUGUGCUAUUCGGUCGAAAGUAAUCAGCAACCAACGAAGUCAAUAAAAGUGUAUAAGUAGGCCACUCUUCCCAGUGAGAUUAAUACACUACAAAAUCUAUAUGAUGUGUAGUAAUUAACAAGAUGAUUUUAUAGUUGGUAUUUCCAAUAGCCGAGGUACCCGUACAUAUAUAUUUCUCUAGUUCUAAUUCCCUUACAUGAGUUCCGCAUAUACGUAUCUCAUCUUAAAACUGUACCUCAGCCACACAAAUCUGUACGUGCGACUACAUUUGAGUAUGUCUUGGAGGGACUAUAAUUAUGGCUUGAUAUUACUCAACAUACAUGUCAACAGAAAGAGGAGAACAUCAUAGCACAUUUUCAUUUUUGAAAAGCACAUUAAAUAAAAGCCUUUUGACUAUUUUAUUGUUUGGUUGUCACUAAAUUGAAAAUAUUUUUCAGUGUACAGCAGAAUGCAACCAAGGAAGCAAAACAUUUAAAAGGACCUGCUUUUCAUGUACCAUGACCACUACAGAGCAAAAGAGGGUCAAAGCGAGCUAGAACGGGUGGCCCCCUGCAAAAAAAUAAUUGCCCAAUUACGAGACAAUAAACCUAAACAGGGGCUUUCCUGCAGCACACCAUGUAACAGAAACAAUUCUGAUAUUUCAUAUCAUCCAUGUCAUAAUUAGAAAAAUGAGAAAAUAUAGUUCCACAUAAGCAAGCAAAUAUAAAACGAAAACUAGUUGACUAUGUGUACAAAAUAUAGUUCCACACUAUCAGAAUUACAAGGACUCAAAGUGCCAAGUCAAUGUAAGUGUCUUGUUUGUUUGGAUCUAGCUCACCAUGGUCAGUAAUUAAUCGGACAGAUAUUGAUUCAAAACACACAAAACUGGGCACAUAUAUCAACAUAAGAAUAACAGUGUCAGAGACAAGCAUUCUUCUACAACAUAACUAAUCAGAUACACCACAUAUAUGUUUUGCAACAAACUAAAAACAAAACAAGGCAUGCACUAAUCAGAUAGAUAUUGAUUCAAAAAUUCCAGACUCCAGAACAUAACUAACAAGUUCAAAUAAAAAGGGUUUAGGGGUUUAGGGUACGUUGCAAGAAAGAGCAUGCUUCCACCUUGUUUCAACAGACCUUUUAAAUUGUUUUCUUAUCCACGGCAUCAUAAGUCUUAACCAAACCAGAGCAAGUAAAGGAUCUUGUGUUCAGAGCAUACACUACACUGGCAGCAGCACAAGCUUAUGUUCAAAGCAUACACUACAGUCGAUCUUACUUAACAGGUGGUUGUUCUAAUCACCUACAGCCUGCCUCAAGCCCUCAACUCGAUACAGUCAAUCUACACAGACAAUCGACAGCUAAAGAACAAUGCAGCAUUCUGGUGAAGCAGCAAGCAUGCCUAGAUGGCGACUCCCGUGAACAGAGAACCCUACCACUUGGGGACUUAAACGAGGAGUAGCCGAGGUUCCUGCUUGUGUUGCCAUUGCUGAAAGAAAAGUAUAUAUUAAUGCUUAAACAAGAUAAACAGUACAUGGAUACAAAAAGGGUAGCAGGAUUAAAAGAAUGAUUUAGAGAAUGGACGACUGGUCCACAUAAAAGUCAGAACAUCAAUCAAACAAUCGACAAUUUUCUUUGACAACACGAACUGCAAAUCCAAAUGCUGAUUCUAGAAAGUAUGCACCCCCAAGCAUCUGUCCAAAAUAAGAACAAAAACAAAAAGGAGGGCUAGCAGACACAAUCUACUCUAAACACUACAGCAAAAGGUCUGUCGGCAUUAACGACGAGAAUAGCAUGUAAACCAGAACUUGAUGUCAUUUUAUAGCUAGUUGUUUUAGCCUGUCGACUGGCUAGUUAGAUACAUUUGGCUUUCAUCGCACUAUAAGCCUCCAAGGUCCAACAGUUAGUAGAUAAGCCUCUAUAGAUGGAUACCUUUGGCUGUCAUUUAAUACAUUGAGGACCACAGACAGAUAAACCAACUAAAUUCAGAAACAAAUUUGAGUUAUCAACCCUUCAGACUAGCAUACUAAUGUCAGUUUAUCCUUACGUUGCUUAAUGUCCUAAGAAACAGCAUGCAGGCUAUCCACAUCUACUGUCCAGCACACAAUAGAAACAACUAAUGGUGCAGCAACUCCUCCAAGAAGAAACUAGAAUUAUUAGCUGCAAAAUUAUUUCAUUCCUCAUGGCCAUACAAGCAGUAAUCUACAUGCUGCAGAGUGUGGCUCAGUCACGGGAUCUAGGCAGAGGAGGGAGGCAGAGGUAAAGUGCUCACCGAAGAGGUUACUGGCGAUGCAGCGGUCGCAUUGCAGGUCGGCCACCACCGUCGCGCAGUAGAGGUGGUCGCGGCAGGAUGCACGGCCUCUUGGGAGACCCGGCGGAGGAGGUCAGUGUCGCCGCCGUCCAGCCAACGCGUGUGAGCACGCCAAUCUACGCCAGCACAAAUGGCCUUGGAGUGGAGACGAGGUCUCUUGUGCACCUGUGUAUGGAGAACCGGCCGCAUCAGGGCAGGGGAGAGAGCAAACCAAAUCGGGACUGAGGAGCGGAGAGGAGACCUUGAGGACACGAACCCGCAACCGGAGCACGCAUGAAUCCAUGCCUCCCGGUGGUGGCGGUGGUGGCACCGGGUCGUGCAGGCCUGAUCUGAGGCCAAGGAGGCGCUAAUCGGAUCUGGUCGGAGUGAUGCGAGCCCCUUGCUGCGCGGUGCCAUGUGUGGCGGCGGCGUGUAGUACGGGAGAGAGAGGCCGGGGUGGGGGCUACAGGGGAGGGAGGGGGUCAAGGCCGGCGGCGAGCGGGCGGUAGAUGGCGGCGAGGGGAGGGGAGGGAUCUGGAUCGGGGAGCGCUAGGGUUCGCUGCGUGGGGGAGAGAGAGGAUGGCCACGACAUGAGUAGCCCAUGUGGAUCUAGGAGGAGAGGGGAGGGGCUGCCGACGAUGAGGUUGGAGGUCGCCGAUGCGACUGGAGAAGAGGACAGCGGCGGAUUGGGUUGGGCUAGGGUUGGGCGGCGGCGGAGGGAGAGGGCUAGGGUUGGCAGCCGUGGGUGCGUGGGAGAGAAAGGGCCGUGGGUACGUGGGUGAUUGGGCUACGUGGGGUGAGAGGGUGAGGCCGUGAGGGGGUGAG
rnacentral:lncRNA from 1 species